rnacentral:tRNA from 1 species
GGCUGGUGUGGCAGAGCCAGGAAAAUGCAAAAGACUUAAACCCUUUUAUCAGACGUUCAACCCGUCUCGCCAGUA